rfam:Vigna angularis cultivar Jingnong 6 chromosome 9, whole genome shotgun sequence.
UUUGUUUGCUGUGAUGAUAAAUGUGAAUCCCAGCUCAUUAUGAGACCUUUUUUAAGGUCUGGGAAAAGAAUUUUCCACAUUUAUCUGAGCUUCUCU